AGUGAACGCUGGCGGUAGGCCUAACACAUGCAAGUCGAACGGCAGCACAGUAAGAGCUUGCUCUUACGGGUGGCGAGUGGCGGACGGGUGAGGAAUACAUCGGAAUCUACUUUUUCGUGGGUGAUAACGUAGGGAAACUUACGCUAAUACCGCAUACGACCUACUGGUGAAUGCAGGGGAUCUUCGGACCUUGCUCGAUUGAAUGAGCCGAUGUCGGAUUAGCUAGUUGGCGGGGUAAAGGCCCACCAAGGCGACGAUCCGUAGCUGGUCUGAGAGGAUGAUCGGCCACAGUGGAACUGAGACACGGUCAAGACUCCUACGGGAGGCAGAGGUGGGGAAUGUUGGACAAUGGGCGCAAGCCUGAUCCAGACAUACCGCGUGGGUGAAGAAGGCCUUCGGGUUGUAAAGCCCUUUUGUUGGGAAAGAAAAGCAGCAGGUUAAUACCCCGCUGUUCUGACGGUACCCAAAGAAUAAGCACCGGCUAACUUCGUG
rnacentral:rRNA from 1 species